rnacentral:lncRNA from 10 species
AAACUAGUCUUUUAAAAACAGUGCUAUUACCUAAAACCCAGUGAAGUAUAUAGAUAUGUCUCCUUACACAUCCAGUACUCAUAUGAUUGACAUUCAUUUCUCAUGGCAAAGCGGAGCAACAUAGCACUGCCUGUCUUCUGUGUACUAUCUCCAGAGUUUUCUCUUUGUCCCUGCUCAUUCAAUCCUACAACCCUAGCACUUUCUGUGAAAGCACACUGACUCGAUUUCUGCAGGAGAUUUUAAUUAAAUUUGAAAGGGAGGCAGGUGGUAUCAAGGCAUGAAUUGAUGAUGACUUCAGUUGGGUGGUGUGACAUGUCUGUGUGUCUGGUUCUCCUUACAGAGGUGAAGUUCCAGCAGCGAUUUGUGUUUCCAGUACAGUUUGGUGGCCCAAUGAUAGAGCACUGGUGGAAUUCCAACCUCACUUUCCAAAUUUAUGUAAAGAAAACUCCACAGAAAAAGAGUCUCGCUUUGUCGCCCAGGCUGGAGUGUAGUGGCGCGAUCUCAGCUCACUGCAAGCUCUGCCUCCCGGGUUCACGCCAUUCUCCUGCCUCAGCCUCCCGAGUAGCUGGGAUUACAGGCUCCCACCACCACACCUGGCUAAUUUUUUUGUAUUUUGAGUAGAGACGGGGUUUCACCAUGUUAGCCAGGAUGGUCUCGAUCUCCUGACCUUGUGAUCUGCCCACCUCGGCCUCCCAAAGUGCUGGGAUUACAGGCGUGAGCCACCAUG